rnacentral:rRNA from 1 species
ACUCAAAUGAAUUGACGGGGGCCCGCACAAGCAGCGGAGCGUGUGGUUUAAUUCGAUGAUACGCGAAGAACCUCACCCAGGCUUGACAUGCAUGUUUACCGCGGUGAAAGCCAAGGGACCCUUCGGGGAGCAUGCACAGGUGUUGCACGGCCGUCGUCAGCUCGUGCCGUGAGGUGUUGGGUUAAGUCCCGCAACGAGCGCAACCCCUGUCGCCAGUUGUAUUUUUCUGGCGAGACUGCCGAGAAAUCCUCGGAGGAAGGAGGGGACGAUGUCAGGUCAGCGUGGCCCUUACGCCUGGGGCUACACACACGCUACAAUGGGUGGUACAGAGGGCAGCCAAGCGGCGACGCGGAGCCAAUCCCAUCAAAGCCAUCCUCAGUUCGGAUUGCAGGCUGAAACCCGCCUGCAUGAAGCCGGAGUUGCUAGUAACCGCAGGUCAGCACUACUGCGGUGAAUACGUUCCCGGGCCUUGUACACACCGCCCGU